rnacentral:rRNA from 1 species
UACAGAGGGUGCGAACGUUGCUCGGAAUUACUGGGCGUAAAGCGCAUGUAGGCGGAUCCAUAAGUCGGGCGUGAAAUCCCCAGGCUCAACCUGGGAACUGCGCUCGAAACUGUGGGUCUCGAGUGUCGGAAGAGGAUGGCGGAAUUCCUGGUGUAGAGGUGAAAUUCGUAGAUAUCAGGAGGAACACCGGUGGCGUAAGGCGGCCA